rnacentral:rRNA from 1 species
AACGAACGCUGGCGGCGUGCUUAACACAUGCAAGUCGAACGCGAAAGGGGCUUCGGUCCUGAGUAGAGUGGCGCACGGGUGAGUAACGCGUAGAUAACCUGUCCUGGUGUCUGGAAUAAUAUCUCGAAAGGGGUGCUAAUACCGGAUAUUCUUGCUUUCUAUAAGGUAUGCAAGGAAAGGUGGCCUCUGGAACAAGCUACUGCACGAGGAGGGGUCUGCGUACCAUUAGCUAGUAGGUGGGGUAAUGGCCUACCUAGGCGACGAUGGUUAGCGGGUCUGAGAGGCUGAUCCGCCACACUGGUACUGGAACACGGACCAGACUCCUACGGGAGGCAGCAGUGAGGAAUAUUGCGCAAUGGGGGCAACCCUGACGCAGCGACGCCGCGUGAGUGAGGAAGGCCUUCGGGUCGUAAAGCUCUGUCAAAGGGGAAGAAGUGCAUGGUGGUUAAUAUCUGUCAUGUUUGACGGUACCCUUAAAGGAAGCACCGGCUAACUCCGUGCCAGCAGCCGCAGUAA